UACCCUUAUACACGAGUUAUUUAAUUUAUUGUGAUCCUUACGGAUGGCACUCCUUCAAUUGCCAUCAUUAAUUUAGCUUCUAUAUUUUUUCCGUUGUAAAACCGAAAACUCAAUAGAAUUGUCAAUUUUAUCGAUGUGGCGCUCCAAGUCCUCGUGCCAGCAUGUACAGAGCCGGGAAAAGACAAAAAUACCCUGCCUUAUCUUCUUCUAUCUAUCUUCUUCUACCUUCGCUCUCCCUCUGACCCGCUGUCGCGAACCUCGCGGUCACCUAACUGUCCGUCCGACGCGGC
rnacentral:lncRNA from 1 species